AAAAACAUAGCAUGCGGUGUUUUAUAUCUUACAAGUUGCUUUGGUCUAGUGGUAUAUGAGCUCCAGCUGGAGUGUCCGCCCCUGGGUUCGAGCCUUGGCCACUGCGCAAUUUACAUGUGGGCUGCAGCACCCGAGACCGAAGACCGUUACACGGUGAGCCACAUGGUGACGCCCUGGCAGCGUCCAUGCUCACUUCGGUCUCUAGUCUGGACCACUUCGGUGGGGCCAGAUUAUUCGGUUAGCAAAAAAAAAAGAAACCAACCAACUCUGGUGUAAGGCUAAUAGAGUUGAGGAAGCGAUUCAGGACAUGGAUUUAGUCCUUGUGUUAAUUAUUAGCUACACGACUGAUUUAUUUAUAAGGUGGUGUUAACUGUUAAUAUUGGCCAGCAGUGUAACUUCAUUAAGAUGCUUAGUGAGAUGGGGGUCUCCUCCUUAAUUAUGUGUUACUUACACCAACUAUAAUGUCUUCCUGUCUGUCGUCCUAACCUGUAUCUUUUUGUUCAUGGGCGUUAAUCAACUUGUAUAGAUCAUUAAGGUUUUGGGAACACCACCAACAAAGGGAAGAAAUAUAUCAAAUGCAUUCAAUACUGUCCCAGUCUCCGUUCUCGAUACAUUGGUCCACCCGUUCUUUGAUGAGCUUAGAGAUCCCCUAAUGCACGUUUCUUUCCUUCCACCAG